rnacentral:misc_RNA from 1 species
GUGAAUCAUCGAAUUUUUGAACGCAAAUUGCACUCUUUGCAGAGAGUAUGCGUGUUUGAGGGUCAGCAUAAAAAAAAUCGACAUAGUUGCUGUUUCGCGGUGACAUUCGUCGGUAAUUGGGUCACAUUAAACCUUUGGGGUUUUUAAGUGUCUUAAAAUUUUCUUUACGAUUCCACGAACGUUUCUAAGUAUUUACUUCUUUCACACGUAUAAGGUAUCGAUCUUUAUUAGAGGUUGCCGUUGAAUCGGUUCGUGUCCAUAUAUCUUU